CUGGGUUUGAAUACAAUUCUUCCUGCCUCAUCCGCUGCAGCACUGAGAUUGUAGGUCAUUGUUUCCCAACCUAGAUGCUGAGUCCAGUGAGACUAUGAAGAUAUUGUGAGUGUUCUUGGAGAUCAGAACAUAAGAGAUCCAACAGAGACAGGGUCUCACUAUGUAG